CCUACGGGAGGCAGCAGUGGGGAAUAUUGCACAAUGGGGGAAACCCUGAUGCAGCCACGCCGCGUGAGGGAAGAAGUAUCUCGGUAUGUAAAACUCUAUCAGCAGGGAAGAAAAUGGCGGUACCUGACUAAGAAGCCCCGGCUAACUACGUGCCAGCCGCCGCGGUAAUCCGGAGGGGGCAAGCGUUAUCCGGAUUUACGGGGUGUAAAGGGAGCGUAGGCGGCAUUUUAAGUCAGGAGUGAAAGUCUGGGGCUCAACCCCCGGACUGCUGUUGAAACUGUACGGCUUGAGUGCAGUAGAGGCAAGUGGAAUGCGUGGUGUAGCGGUGAAAUGCGUAGAUAUUAGGCGGAACCCCAGUGGCGAAGGCGGCUUGCUGGACUAUAACUGACGCUGAGGCUCGAAAGCGUGGGGAGCAAACAGGAUUAGAUACCCUUGUAGUC
rnacentral:rRNA from 1 species